GGCCUGGUGGUCUAGUAGUAUGAUUCCUUCUUAGGGCGUUAAGCAGUGCUUGCGUAUUUGGAGGAGGUCCCGGGUUCAAUUCCCGGCCAGGCCC